rnacentral:lncRNA from 1 species
AAGAGCCUGAGGAUGAAGCUGUCCUGGAAAGAAUAGUAGUGCUCCCCAAACUAAUUUGAUGAUAGAUGACUUGGGCAUUAGAGAUGGAUUAAAAGGUGGAAACGGGAAUGAGAUCACUGAUACUAAUAGUGUGACUGCUGAGUGUUAGUCAUGUUUUCCAUGUAGCAAAUACAUUAUCCCAGUGGCAUGCUUUUGAGCCUUUUUGUUUUCUCCACUAGUCUUCUUAAGGCAUUUUAUUGGUGGCAGUAAAUGUUGGUGAUGCAUUUGAUGAUGUCCUGGAAAGAAUAGUAGUGCUCCCCAAACUAAUUUGAUGAUAGAUGACUUGGGCAUUAGAGAUGGAUUAAAAGGUGGAAACGGGAAUGAGAUCACUGAUACUAAUAGUGUGACUGCUGAGUGUUAGUCAUGUUUUCCAUGUAGCAAAUACAUUAUCCCAGUGGCAUGCUUUUGAGCCUUUUUGUUUUCUCCACUAGUCUUCUUAAGGCAUUUUAUUG